rnacentral:rRNA from 1 species
CCUACGGGUGGCAGCAGUGAGGAAUAUUGGUCAAUGGGCGCGAGCCUGAACCAGCCAAGUCGCGUGAGGGAAGACGGUCCUAUGGAUUGUAAACCUCUUUCAGCAGGGAAGACAAAAGGACGGUACCUGCCGAAGAAGCCACGGCUAACUACGUGCCAGCAGCCGCGGUAAUACGUAGGUGGCAAGCGUUAUCCGGAAUUACUGGGUGUAAAGGGUGUGUAGGCGGGGCUGCAAGUCAGAUGUGAAAAUUAUGGGCUCAACCCAUAACCUGCGUCUGAAACUGUAGCUCUUGAGAGUGGGAGAGGUAAACGGAAUUCACGGUGUAGCGGUGAAAUGCGUAGAUAUCGGGAGGAACACCAGUGGCGAAGGCGGUUUACUGGACCACAACUGACGCUGAGACACGAAAGCGUGGGGAGCAAACAGGAUUAGAUACCCCUGUAGUC